GGCCGGGGUUGAGGGGAAGAGGGCGGGGCUGCUUGGGUAGCGGGGCAGGCUUGGGGGCUGCCGGCUGGCACGGGCCCCAGACUCAGGGCACCACAACGCGGUAGGACACGCUGUAGAGCCGGCUGCCCACGUGCUUCACCAGGAUCUCCUCGCAGGGGGUCCUUGGGCCAUGAACCCCCACCAGCAGCAUGUUGUUGCCUGAGGCAAGAGGGGUCCUCAGUCCCAGGUCCCAGCCCCCUUCCUCCCGCUGGUGUCCUGCUCUCCUCUCCUGUCCCUAAGCCAGUUCUGGGGUGACAGUUCUCUCUUCCUAAAGAGCUGCCAGCACCUCCCCAACCCAGGCCAGCUUAGCAGAUUCCAGCUCCUCCCUGGUCUUUGUUUGAGGGGUCCAGGAGGUGGCAGGGAGGUGGCUCUAGAAGUGAAAGCCACGCCCCAAAGGCGGUCCCUGCUCUCCCAGACACUGGCCAUCCUGUGAUUUCUGGCCUCAUUUUGGUGGGAAGGUGGGCCGGGGGCCCAGGUUGCCC
rnacentral:lncRNA from 1 species